rnacentral:misc_RNA from 1 species
AUGGGUUCAGAGCAGUUGUGGAAAGACACCUAGAGGUAGAGGUUACUGGUUUGGAUCGAAAUGGCAAAGCAAUCAAAGUAGAUGCUUCAGGAUGGCAGGCUCGCAUCUUGCAGCACGAAUAUGACCACCUAGACGGAACUCUUUAUGUUGACAAGAUGGCUCCUAGAACCUUCAGGACUGUAGAGAACUUGGACUUGCCUCUUGCAGCUGGCUGUCCUAAAUUGGGAGUGUGCUAGGUCCACUACCUCGAGCGACUCAUUGUGAACUGAAUUAUCAAUAUCUUGCUUGGAAAUGGAAUCAUUUGUCCCUUGCUCAGAUAACUGUGAUGUUAGAAAACAAUAAAGGAGCUACUGACGCUGACUCUUGUGGGAUAUUGAAGUACUUGGAUUCAG